rnacentral:rRNA from 1 species
GAUGAACGCUGGCGGCGUGCCUAAUACAUGCAAGUCGAGCGAACGGACGAGAAGCUUGCUUCUCUGAUGUUAGCGGCGGACGGGUGAGUAACACGUGGAUAACCUACCUAUAAGACUGGGAUAACUUCGGGAAACCGGAGCUAAUACCGGAUAAUAUUUUGAACCGCAUGGUUAAAAAGUGAAAGACGGUCUUGCUGUCACUUAUAGAUGGAUCCGCGCUGCAUUAGCUAGUUGGUAAGGUAACGGCUUACCAAGGCAACGAUGCAUAGCCGACCUGAGAGGGUGAUCGGCCACACUGGAACUGAGACACGGUCCAGACUCCUACGGGAGGCAGCAGUAGGGAAUCUUCCGCAAUGGGCGAAAGCCUGACGGAGCAACGCCGCGUGAGUGAUGAAGGUCUUCGGAUCGUAAAACUCUGUUAUUAGGGAAGAACAUAUGUGUAAGUAACUGUGCACAUCUUGACGGUACCUAAUCAGAAAGCCACGGCUAACUACGUG